ACGACUGCGAAAUGCGAAAUGUUUCCACAUUAUUUUCGUUAUCUCCGCUCGGAAAUUGUUCAUUAACUUAAUGUUAUUCUGCAAAUAAGUACAACAUAUAUGCAUUGUCCAUCUGUGCAAUAUGCGGAUGGCUCAUGGAGUGGAGCUCAGUGUCUUUAAAAGAGCCGCAAACACACACUUGUUCCCUUAGCUUUGGCAACUGACAGUAGAGUGGAAUAUAAUUUCCAUUUUUAAUUAGUGCAAGGAAAUUCUAUAUUUAUUAAAUUAAGUGCAAUACUUGCAGUUCAGAAAGUAUUCGUUUCAUGUGUAAAUUCUUAUAUAAUUCUUGUUGUGAGUGCAGAAGUUAUUGAAGAAGAAACAGUUUGCCAUUUUGAAUAUUUUCAUGUAUAUCACACUGAAUUAUGUGUAAGGUACUCAAAUGAGCGUCCAUUAAUGCAGAUUAAGAUGUACUCGAAUCUGGGCUCAGAAAUGUAUAUAAUAUAAUAUAUAAAAUACAAUCAGUGUACAUAUACCUGUAGUAGAAUUGCAACAAAAGCUGCCGUUAAUGCAACUCAGGAAGUGCAUCAGAUUUCUGACGACGACAAUUGCGGCUGCUACUGUGGCUGCUACUGGAUUCACUUAACUAAGUGUUAUUGUGCUCUGAUUAAUCUAUGUAUAUUCUAAUUUAGAUGAUGAAUGCAUUCAGGCAGCUGUUUAUUGUACUUUGUUUGCGCAUCUUGCGCCGACAAAUUGUUGCACAUACGAGUACGAGCUUGUGCCCCAAACUCGGGUCUGCUCUGGCAUUUUCUGCUUUUUUGACAAGUACUUGACGCUUGCCCCAGUAGUAGCUGCAGCAGCGGCAGCAGAGCAGCAGCGGCAGCAGAGCAGCAGAAGCAGCACUCAUAACCGAGAGCAGCGACAUCGCAGCGGCACAAUAAGACUGCUUCUGCACAUUCGCAUUGUGUGUAUUUUUAUUCGUUUAAAUUCAAUUGACUUUGAAUGCUCCAGCAAUGAAGGCAACAACACACACAGGGCACGGGCACUAGCACGGACAGGGACAGAGCCGGAGCAGAUGCGACGUGGCCGUUGUCGUCUGUCACGGAGUAAAUUUGAACGCUGUCGGCGAAUACGGGCAUCGGGCAACGGAAAACGAAUGAGGGUCAAUUAAGCCAAUUUAAAUUUAAUAAACUUAUGUAUUAUGUACAAGAGGUUACUAGCCAUAGCAAUAUGCCAUCCGUAUAUGACUUGCAAUGAUACACAUCUACAUACAUACACAGGCGAACGAAGACCCGAAGUGGAGGGGCAAUAAUACUCGUAUUUUUCUAUUUUUGGGGAGGGUAGACAAAUGUAGUACUCGUAUUUGACGGAGAAGGAGAAGGAGAUUGGAUACAGAUGCAUGACACAGCUGCCACAGAAGUUCAGAAUACAUUACAGAACGGACGGAUGCUUCGAGCUGUCAAUUGUGAGGGAUGCUGUGAUGUCAUUCCCAUCGAUCCACCGAUCCAGCAGAAGAACCCAUUCUAACUGAUGUACAUAUCAUUGCAGAGAUCAGAUCAGAACAGCAGUUCAAGGAGGGGUCACGGCACGGGAAAAUGAACUGGAGAUCAUGGGUGUACUUCUUGGCAGAAACUCUCUAGCAUACAUACAUGUGUACAUAUUUAUAAGUACAUAUAAUGUAUACCAUCCUCCCGCUGGAGAGGUGUUCGGUCCAGGUGGGGAAGAACACAGCUGCUCUCUUCCGCAGAAUAAUUCAGGCGAGGAAUCCCAUCUCGGAUCUCGCCGAAGAUGUGCACAUACUAUGUGGUGGCCUUGCAAUUGUUCUAUAUUAUAAAUGCUUAAAUUACUCCUAGAUGGGGCAACAACAUACAUACUCGUAGAAGCGAACAACAUAUAUCCCUCACCAUUAGUUAUGAUCUAUAUAUGUACAGUUGUCGAGUAAAUUUCACGGAGAAUUUUCUAUGUGCUGUUCUGUUCAGUUCUUCCGUGCGUUACCAUUUUGAGUCCUUGACAAGCGAGCUCUAGCAUGCUUCUAUAUGUGUGUUUAAUCAUGUAUGUACAUUGCACUUAGACCGACACUUAGGGCUACUUAGGCCUAGAUAAAUACAAGUAUGUGGUAGCUACACUUAAACACUUCAGUUAAUCAAAUUAAAAAUCAAUAGGUAAUACUUUUAUAGAGGAUAUGGACAUGAUAUUCUCACAAAUGCGACUCCCGCAGAACUCUGCCGGGUCUGGAAGAGUGCAGGUCCUGUUUAGAUUAAAUGGAUACAAGUUUAUAUGUUUAUUUAUAUAUCAUGGCGUAAAUUAGUUGCAAUCGGUUUGCUCAGUUUUGCUCAGGGUUU